GUUUUCUGCCGGGUCGAGUCAGGGUCGCCUUCCUCGAGCUCUGAGUUAUCCAUCAAGCGGAGUCAACCUGAAAGCUAGGUGCAUUUCCCUGGAGAUAUAGGGAUCAGAGAGAAGAGGGGCGAGAGGGACCAACGGAUGGGGAGUAAUAAAGUUUAUGAGAGGGUGUGGGGCAGUCUUCUGUACCAUGGGGAAGUCC
rnacentral:lncRNA from 1 species